rnacentral:sRNA from 1 species
CCGCAGGUUCGGGUCGAACGCAGUGAGACAACGGAGCCGUUUACGGCGACGGCCCGUAGGGCGAGCGAAGCGAGUCAUCCUGCACGACCCACCA